CCUACGGGAGGCAGCAGUGAGGAAUAUUGGUCAAUGGACGAGAGUCUGAACCAGCCAAGUAGCGUGAAGGAUGACUGCCCUAUGGGUUGUAAACUUCUUUUAUAAAGGAAUAAAACGAGGCACGUGUGCCUUUUUGUAUGUACUUUAUGAAUAAGGAUCGGCUAACUCCGUGCCAGCAGCCGCGGUAAUUCGGAGGAUCCGAGCGUUAUCCGGAUUUAUUGGGUUUAAAGGGAGCGUAGGUGGGUUGUUAAGUCAGUUGUGAAAGUUUGCGGCUCAACCGUAAAAUUGCAAUUGAAACUGGCAGUCUUGAGUACAGUAGAGGUAGGCGGAAUUCGUGGUGUAGCGGUGAAAUGCUUAGAUAUCACGAAGAACCCCGAUUGCGAAGGCAGCUUACUAAACUGUGACUGACAUUGAUGCUCGAAAGUGUGGGUAUCAAACAGGAUUAGAUACCCUUGUAGUC
rnacentral:rRNA from 1 species